rnacentral:rRNA from 1 species
UACGGGGGGGGCAAGCGUUGUUCGGAAUUACUGGGCGUAAAGGGCUCGUAGGCGGCCAACUAAGUCAUACGUGAAAUCCCUCGGCUUAACCGGGGAACUGCGUCUGAUACUGGAUGGCUUGAGAUUGGGAGAGGGAUGCAGAAUUCCAGGUGUAGCGGUGAAAUGCGUAGAUAUCUGGAGGAAUACCGGUGGCGAAGGCGGCAUCCUGGACCGACAUUGACGCUGAUGAGCGAAAGCUAGGGGAGCAAACGGG